rnacentral:rRNA from 1 species
AUGAACGCUGGCGGCGUGCCUAAUCCAUGCCAGUCGAGCGAACAGACGAGGAGCUUGCUCCUCUGACGUUAGCGGCGGACGGGUGAGUAACACGUGGAUAACCUACCUAUAAGACUGUGAUAACUUCGGGAAACCGGAGCUAAUACCGGAUAAUAUAUUGAACCGCAUGGUUCAAUAGUGAAAGACGGUUUUGCUGUCACUUAUAGAUGGAUCCGCGCCGCAUUAGCUAGUUGGUAAGGUAACGGCUUACCAAGGCGACGAUGCGUAGCCGACCUGAGAGGGUGAUCGGCCACACUGGAACUGAGACACGGUCCAGACUCCUACGGGAGGCAGCAGUAGGGAAUCUUCCGCAAUGGGCGAAAGCCUGACGGAGCAACGCCGCGUGAGUGAUGAAGGUCUUCGGAUCGUAAAACUCUGUUAUUAGGGAAGAACAAAUGUGUAAGUAACUAUGCACGUCUUGACGGUACCUAAUCAGAAAGCCACGGCUAACUACGUG